GCUGGGUGGUUGAAGCGGAGACGCAACGAGAAAAAUACGUACGGCUGUCGCGGGUCGCGGGCGGCAGGAGUCGGGGCGCGCGGGAGAGAUGAUAAGGAUGGCGGCGGCGGCGUCUCAGCCACCAUCGUCAGCCGUGCGGGUGCGCGGGUGCGGCGGCGCGGCGUCUGUGUCGUCGGCGCGCCCCUUCACGGGGUCGCCGCGGGGUAGAGUCGCGGCGUCGAUUGGGAAGGGGAGGAAGCGGAGGCGCGCCAUCUCGUGCUGCUCGUCUCCGGACGCAGAUGGACCACGCCCCGCCGCGCCACCGACCUCCGCGGCGCCUUCGGACGGGUCGAUACAGCUCUAUUCCCAGAUUGAGAGGGUGAUCACGGAGGCGGCAAAGCAGUCCCGGGAGGGCUGGGGUUCGACUGGAGAUUGGACCGAAGUCGAGGGAGCGUGGGUAUUGCGACCGAAGUCCUCGGAGCCAUCAUUUGUUGUCCACUUUGUUGGAGGAAUUUUUGUCGGAGCCGCUCCCCAGAUCACAUACCGCUUCUUCCUUGAAUGUCUCGCGAACAGGGGAGCUUUGGUGAUUGCUACGCCUUAUGCGAGCGGCUUUGACCAUUUCUUCAUUGCAGAUGAAGUUCAAUUUAAGUUUGAUAGGUGUUUGAGAAACUUGGAUGAGCCUGUAAAUGAUAUCCCAACAUUUGGUGUUGGACAUUCCUUGGGAUCUGUUAUCCACAUGUUGAUUGGAUCAAGAUAUGCUGUGCAGCGAAGUGGAAAUGUACUGAUGUCCUUUAACAACAAGGAGGCAAGCUCCGCGGUUCCACUAUUUUCACCUGUAAUUGUUCCCAUGGCACAAAGUUUUGGCCCGAUACUGUCCCAAUUGACAUCAUAUCCAACAAUCCGAUUUGGGGCAGAAGCAGCCAUUAAGCAGCUUGAGAAUCUAAGCCCACCUGUGGUUAAGCAACUUCUACCUUUACUUCAACAACUUCCUCCGUUGUAUAUGGACUUAGUAAAUGGGAGGGAGGACUUCAUUCCAAAACCAGAAGAGACACGCCGCCUGAUAAAAUCCUACUAUGGGAUUUCUCGGAAUCUCUUAAUAAAGUUCAAAGAUGAUCAAAUUGAUGAAACCUCUACCCUUGCACAAGUACUAAGCUCCGAAGCAGCUAUUAGCUCGUUGCUUGAUAUGUCAAUUCGAUCACUUCCUGGGGAUCAUGGGCUACCAUUGCAACAGGUUCUUCCUGAUGUUCCACCAGCAAUGGCUGAUGCAGUGAACCGUGGAGGUGAACUUCUGGCAAAUCUGACAAUGGGCACACCAUGGGAGGCUGUUGCUAAGGAGGUUGGUACCAGUUUGGGUACUGACUCAGGCAUUCUACGAGCACAGAUCUCAAAAGACAUUGAAACUCUUGUUGAUGUAAUUGCUUCAUGGAUAUCUUCAAAUUCUGGUCCAAGACUACUUCGCCCAUGAUCACCCAGCAGUCUGCGUACAUAAAUGUUAGUAACAGUGAAGAGCGACAUGAUUGCACUGAUGAAUUGUGAAGGAAGGAUGCAUGGCACUGGCAAUAGGAGCUUUUGUGGACAAUCUAAACCCAUUGGCAAAGGCAAGAUCUCCUUCCUCAGAUUAUUGGUCUGUAAUCAAUUUGGAUUAAAGGUAAACAAUAUAGGCUUAUAAGGUUCCUAAGUAAGAAUAUUUCUUCCCACUAAGUGUAUUAAAAUCUUAUAUUCAAAAUGUAAGAGAUGCUAGUAAAUGGGCAAUGAAAUUAACCUACAUAGUUAUACAUAAGACGUCUUUUACAUGAAGGCAUUCUCAGUGUUCUUCACAGUUUGUAGCCAAUAUUGUGUAGUGGACUCUAACAUCUAUCUUUUUUUGUUGGACAUGCAUCUACCUCCUAUAUUGAGAUUUUGCACUUGCUAGAUUCAACAGCAUAGCAUGUGGACAUUUUCCAUAUAGGAGGUAGACAGAAUUGCCUUCCAGUUUUUUUUUUUUCAAUGUCACUAAUAUAUGGAUCAUCCUUGAAAGACUUCA